AUUGAACGCUGGCGGCAUGCCUUACACAUGCAAGUCGAACGGUAACAGGUCUUCGGAUGCUGACGAGUGGCGAACGGGUGAGUAAUACAUCGGAACGUGCCCGAUCGUGGGGGAUAACGGAGCGAAAGCUUUGCUAAUACCGCAUACGAUCUACGGAUGAAGGCAGGGGACCGCAAGGCCUUGCGCGGACGGAGCGGCCGGUGGCAGAUUAGGUAGUUGGUGGGAUAAAAGCUUACCAAGCCGACGAUCUGUAGCUGGUCUGAGAGGACGACCAGCCACACUGGGACUGAGACACGGCCCAGACUCCUACGGGAGGCAGCAGUGGGGAAUUUUGGACAAUGGGCGAAAGCCUGAUCCAGCCAUGCCGCGUGCAGGAUGAAGGCCUUCGGGUUGUAAACUGCUUUUGUACGGAACGAAAAGACUCUUUCUAAUAAAGAGGGUCCAUGACGGUACCGUAAGAAUAAGCACCGGCUAACUACGUG
rnacentral:rRNA from 1 species